GGAGGAACCGCCUGAGUUGCGGAUGAGGGCGCAGAUAACACAUAAGGUCAAUAAUUGCUGGUGAUGACGAGGCUUCAACGCUGGCGUUUGCCCUAAAGACAGCAUUGCCAGCGGACGUUAAUGUAGCUGCUCCAUAGCAUUAAUCGCAUCUCUUGAUCUCCAACCGGGUUCUCGAGUGCUGCGAUUCCUGAUUGGGCUUGAAUUACGGUGAUAGUCGUCCUUGUUGGUAGUAUCUUGGAUCGGACCCGAUGAUCUUGAGAAGCUUGACCAGAUCACGCAGCAGAUUUCGGAUUCGAUUCGCGGUUACUCAACUGGGAUUACUGAUCCACAUCUACGUCAACUAGCUGGAUUGGCAGGUUAUGAGUGAGUGCAACAUCCUGAGUGCAACAACUUUUCGGUAGUGACUUUGGUUUUGGUUCCGUGUUGAGGCACAAGAAAGUUCAAGUUCCGGAGGAAAUGGGCCACGCGCAACUCAUGUGGAUAAGGAACGUGCGCGCCUGGAGACCGCCUGUCCAGCUGUUUUCACGUACGGCCACAAUUCCUUCCUUGACCUGAAAACAGUUUUUAUUAAUAAUAAACCAAUAAAUCAUUAAUUUCAAAUUA